rnacentral:lncRNA from 1 species
CUGGACAAAUGGACUGUGGAUCCAGGAGAGGGGCUGUGGGCUCUGACUCACCAUCUUUCCAAUGUCUAUAUGGCUGGCCUGAUUUACCACAUGGAACCAGAGGGAUCCUGCUUACUGCUGGGCAGGGUAAGUGUGGCAGACCUCCUCUUCCCUGCCUGAAAGGAAGACUAGCGACAAGGCAGAAGUUAUCUCGGGCUGUCAGGGGUGUCUUGGGGAAUAGGAGUCCCUAUUUCCAGUGCUGAAUAAGCUCACAGGCAUCCAGCUCCAAGAAAAUUUGAGAAGUUCCCCAGCACUCUGGUGAGUGAAGCCUUGUCCAGCAUCCUUGCAGCAAGACUUUUCAGCCAAACAUCAAAGAACACUACCCUCCUCUGGUGAAGACAGACGUCUGCCUCAACAUGUAAGGCUCUUCUCAACUGACAACAGAGAAGGGAGGACCUCAGAUGAAAACAUGCCCUUUAGUUUCCUGAAUAUAAAAGUUUGGUGGGGCAAGUGCCCUGCACCUGCAACGUAUCUGAAGCAAAAGUCACUAGUUUCCCUUUCUAGUUUGAAAUCCUUUCUAAAAAAAAUAAGCAAAUAAAUAUAAAAUUUAAAAAAAAGCUGUCCAGUGCCCCCCAACAUUUGUGAGGAAGCCCAACCAUUCGUGCAGUGAUACUAAGGGGUUGGGCAGAGUUGGCAGGGCCUCAAAGGUACAUCUAUCUCCUUCUGCUUUGGAUCAGAAUUAGUACGCUGGCUUCAGCUGGCAUGAAGAGGCUGUGGGCAGGCAAUGAGUCUCCUGUACUGAUUGCACACUAAGGAUGCCACCAGUUCAUCCUCUGAGAAACUGUCCCCAGGACGGUAUAAGUAGAGCCAGGUGAGGCUAUAAAGCGUCACUACCUUCUCACUGAGUGUCAGCGCC